rnacentral:rRNA from 1 species
AUGUCGGGCUCGGGCAGGCUGUCGGCUUCGGUCGGACGGCAGGCUCGGGUCUUUCUGCCUGAGGAACCCGUGGCACUUAACUGUGCGGCGUGGGGACGCAGGCCGUUUACUUUGAAAAAAUUAGAGUGUUCAAAGCAGGCCUACGCUUGAAUACAUUAGCAUGGAAUAAUGGAAUAGGACUUUGGUGCUAUUUUGUUGGUUUAUGGGACCGAAGUAAUGAUUAACAGGGACAGUUGGGGCCGUUUAUAUUUCGUUGUCAGAGGUGAAAUUCUUGGAUUUACGAAAGAUAAACUUCUGCGAAAGCAUUCGGCAAGGAUGUUUUCAUUGAUCAAGAACGAAAGUUAGGGGAUCGAAGACGAUCAGAUACCGUCGUAGUCUUAACCAUAAACUAUGCCGACUAGGGAUCAGUGGAUGUCAAUUUGCGACUCCAUUGGCACCUUGUGAGAAAUCAAAGUUUUUGGGUUCCGGGGGGAGUAUGGUCGCAAGGCUGAAACUUAAAGGAAUUGACGGAAGGGCACCACCAGGAGUGGAGCCUGCGGCUUAAUUUGACUCAACACGGGGAAACUUACCAGGUCCAGACAUAGUAAGGAUUGACAGAUUGAAAGCUCUUUCUUGAUUCUAUUGGGGGGUGGUGCAUGGCCGUUCUUAGUUGGUGGAGUGAUUUGGUCUG